rnacentral:rRNA from 1 species
UACGUGGGAGGGCAAGCGUUGUCCGGAUUUAUUGGGCGUAAAGAGCGUGUAGGCGGCUUUGCAAGUCCGUUGUGAAAACUCGAGCUCAACCUCGAGACGCCGGUGGAAACUGCAAAGCUAGAGUCCGGAAGAGGAGAGUGGAAUUCCUGGUGUAGCGGUGAAAUGCGCAGAUAUCAGGAAGAACACCCGUGGCGAAGGCGGCUCUCUGGGACGGUACUGACGCUGAGACGCGAAAGCGUGGGGAGCGAACAGG